UUAAGCAUAUCAAUAAGCGGAGG
rnacentral:rRNA from 1 species